GAGCUCUUAUGCAUAUAUAUGUAGGUAUUCUUGUAUUUCUCUUCAUACCCAUCAUGGAUUUCUCUUCAAAUCUCGUUGCAAUUAUAGGGGUUGUAGCUCUAGUGCUGCUAUGUAAUCUAUGGAGGGGAAGAAAUUCCAAGAAAAUGAAGGGCAAGUUAGUCCCGGAAGCACCAGGUGGCUUGCCAAUUAUCGGCCACCUCCAUCAGCUUGGCGGCAAGAAAUCACUUGCUAGAACAUUGGGCGAGAUGGCUGAUAAAUAUGGCUCCAUCUUUGCCCUGAGGCUUGGAGUUCACCGCACAGUUAUAAUUACCGAUCACAAGGCGAUGAAGGAUUGUUUCACCACCAAUGACAAGCUUUUCGCCUCUCGCCCACAUUCAAGUCAAGCUAAGUACGUCGGUUACGACUACGCUUCCUUUGGUUUCGCCCCUUACGGUACCUAUUGGCGCAACAUGCGUAAGUUGGCUACCAUUGAGCUCCUCUCCAACCACAGGACUAAGAUACUGAAUUAUGUGCAGAUAUCAGAGGUGAAUCACUUGGUCAAAGAUUUAUACUUGCAUUGCAAGAGCAACAAGAAUGCUAAGAUCAACAUGAGUGAACGGAUCGAACAUUUGAUCUUGAAUAUGAUUACGAGAUACCAGGAUGGUUGCAGGGAAGAGGUACUUCGAUGGCAAUAAAGAAGCGAGGGACGAGAAGGGACGUCCAAUUGGGGAAAUUGUCAGGGAGUUCAUGUUCGUAACAGGGGCUCUUGUUCCU
rnacentral:misc_RNA from 1 species